AAUUAUGGUGGGCUGGGCAGGGGAGCCGAAAGGCUCGCCGGUUUCCGUAUGCGCCGGUACUGCGAACCCUGUUCAGUUCACCACCCAU
rnacentral:antisense_RNA from 1 species